rnacentral:tRNA from 1 species
GGAGGGAUGGCCGAGUGGUUUAAGGCGGCGGUCUUGAAAACCGUUGGGGGAAACCCCCGCAGGUUCGAAUCCUGCUCCCUCCGCCA